GGUCCAGACUCCUACGGGAGGCAGCAGUGGGGAAUAUUGCACAAUGGGGGGAACCCUGAUGCAGCGAAGCCGCGUGGGUGAAGGAGCACCUCGGUGCGUAAAGCCCUAUCGGCAGGGAAGAAACAGACGGGACCUGACUAAGAAGCCCCGGCUAACUACGUGCCAGCAGCCGCGGUAAUACGUAGGGGGCAAGCGUUAUCCGGAGUCACUGGGUGUAAAGGGAGCGUAGACGGCGACGCAAGUCUGGAGUGAAAGACCGGGGCCCAACCCCGGGACUGCUCUGGAAACUGCGGCGCUGGAGUACGGGAGGGGCAGGCGGAAUUCCUGGUGUAGCGGUGAAAUGCGUAGAUAUCAGGCGGAACACCGGCGGCGAAGGCGGCCUGCUGGACCGCGACUGACGUUGAGGCUCGAAAGCGUGGGGAGCGAACAGGAUUAGAUACCCGAGUA
rnacentral:rRNA from 1 species